rnacentral:rRNA from 1 species
UACAGAGGUCUCAAGCGUUGUUCGGAUUCAUUGGGCGUAAAGGGUGCGUAGGCUGCGCGGUAAGUCAGGUGUGAAAUCUCGGAGCUUAACUCCGAAACUGCAUUCGAUACUGCCGUGCUUGAGGACUGGAGAGGAGACUGGAAUUUACGGUGUAGCGGUGAAAUGCGUAGAUAUCGUAAGGAAGACCAGUGGCGAAGGCGGGUCUCUGGACAGUUCCUGACGCUGAGGCACGAAGGUCAGGGGAGCAAACGGG